rnacentral:lncRNA from 1 species
GGAUUACUAGCGAAUUAGGAUAUGGUUUUCUAGUCUAGACUCAAGGGCUUUUGAGCUGGGGUAAUUAGUAGCUAAAAGUUCCUCCGGAGAAAGUGUAGUGGAGUUUCACUUCUACUUGGCAUAUAGUGAUCAGUUAUUCUGUCUGAAAGAAAGCAAGCCGUCCUGAUUAGGGCUGGGAUUUAAGAGCAUUGUCUCUACACUCUACAGCCUGUAAUGAAACUCUCAUUUGUUUUUGUGAGGAUUCUUGAGAAUAACUAAAAAG